AUGCCCAAAAAAGAGGGAAAGCAGAACCAAGUCAAGAUGAUAUGGGUCGCCCAUUCUUCAUGCGCCAAAAAUCUUACCAUUUCCGAAGGAACUGGGGCUACAUUUAUUUUCAAUUUCCAUUCAAGAAUUGCUUUUCUUUCAUAUUUUAUUCUUUCUUUUAUUUUCUGUCUUCUUCCUAGAAAAACUGUUAGACCAAAACUCUUUUAG
rnacentral:rRNA from 1 species